GCCGCGUGAGUGAUGAAGGCUCUUCGGGUCUGUAAAACUCUGUUGUUAGGGAAGAACAAGUGCUAGUUGAAUAAGCUGGCACCUUGACGGUACCUAACCAGAAAGCCACGGCUAACUACGUGCCAGCAGCCGCGGUAAUACGUAGGUGGCAAGCGUUAUCCGGAAUUAUUGGGCGUAAAGCGCGCGCAGGUGGUUUCUUAAGUCUGAUGUGAAAGCCCACGGCUCAACCGUGGAGGGUCAUUGGAAACUGGGAGACUUGAGUGCAGAAGAGGAAAGUGGAAUUCCAUGUGUAGCGGUGAAAUGCGUAAAGAUAUGGAGGAACACCAGUGGCGAAGGCGACUUUCUGGUCUGUAACUGACACUGAGGCGCGAAAGCGUGGGGAGCAAACAGGAUUAGAUACCCUGGUAGA
rnacentral:rRNA from 1 species